AUUCCAGCUCCAAUAGCGUAUAUUAAAGUUGUUGCAGUUAAAACGCUCGUAGUCGGAUUUCGGGGCGGGCCGACCGGUCUGCCGAUGGGUAUGCACUGGCCGGCGCGUCCUUCCACCCGGAGACCGCGCCUACUCUUAACUGAGCGGGCGCGGGAGACGGGUCUUUUACUUUGAAAAAAUCAGAGUGUUUCAAGCAGGCAGUCGCUCUUGCAUGGAUUAGCAUGGGAUAAUGAAAUAGGACUCUGGUGCUAUUUUGUUGGUUUCGAACACCGGAGUAAUGAUUAACAGGGACAGUCUGGGGCACUCGUAUUCCGCCGAGAGAGGUGAAAUUCUUGGACCGUUUGAAGACGAACUAAGGCGAAAGCAUUUGCCAAGAGUGUUUUCAUUA
rnacentral:rRNA from 1 species